CCUACGGGCGGCAGCAGUAGGGAAUCUUCCACAAUGGGCGAAAGCCUGAUGGAGCAACGCCGCGUGGGUGAAGAAGGUCUUCGGAUCGUAAAACCCUGUUGUUAGAGAAGAAAGUGCGUGAGAGUAACUGUUCACGUUUCGACGGUAUCUAACCAGAAAGCCACGGCUAACUACGUGCCAGCAGCCGCGGUAAUACGUAGGUGGCAAGCGUUAUCCGGAUUUAUUGGGCGUAAAGGGAACGCAGGCGGUCUUUUAAGUCUGAUGUGAAAGCCUUCGGCUUAACCGGAGUAGUGCAUUGGAAACUGGGAGACUUGAGUGCAGAAGAGGAAGGUGGAACUCGAGGUGUAGCGGUGAAAUGCGUAGAUAUAUGGAAGAACACCGAUGGCGAAAGCAGCUCUCUGGACUGUAACUGACGCUGAGGUUCGAAAGCGUGGGUAGCAAACAGGAUUAGAUACCCUUGUAGUC
rnacentral:rRNA from 1 species